rnacentral:misc_RNA from 1 species
AAGUCGUAACAAGGUUUCCGUAGGUGAACCUGCGGAAGGAUCAUUAAAGAAAUGAGGCGAAGGGGCCUUUGGGCCCCGCGGCCGACACGUUCUACCCUGUCCUUUAGAUACCUCUACCUCCUCCCCGGCCAAGUGCCGGGCUGGCUACGUGAAAAAACCUUGCAGUUUACAGUCAAUUCAGUACAUAAACAAAACAAAAUUACAACUUUCAACAAUGGAUCUCUUGGCUCUG